AGAGUUUGAUCCUGGCUCAGGAUGAACGCUAGCGGGAGGCUUAAUACAUGCAAGUCGUACGGUGAGAUUCCUUCGGGGAUCCUAGAGUGGCGAACGGGUGAGUAACACGUAUGCAAUCUGCCUCUAACAGGGAGAUAGCCCUUCGAAAGGAGGAUUAAUAUCCCAUAAUAUUAUUGGACGGCAUCGUCUGAUAAUUAAAACUCCGGUGGUUAGAGAUGAGCAUGCGUCCCAUUAGCUAGUUGGUGAGGUAAAGGCUCACCAAGGCAACGAUGGGUAACUGGUCUGAGAGGAUGAUCAGUCACACGGGCACUGAGACACGGGCCCGACUCCUACGGGAGGCAGCAGUAGGGAAUAUUGGGCAAUGGAGGCAACUCUGACCCAGCCAUCCCGCGUGCAGGAAGAAGGUCCUCUGGAUUGUAAACUGCUUUUGUUAGGGAAGAAAAAGUUCUAUUUAUAGAAUUCUGACGGUACCUAACGAAUAAGCACCGGCUAACUCCGUGCCAGCAGCCGCGGUAAUACGGAGGGUGCAAGCGUUAUCCGGAUUCACUGGGUUUAAAGGGUGCGUAGGCGGUCAUGUAAGUCAGUGGUGAAAGCUUCCAGCUUAACUGGGAAACUGCCAUUGAAACUGUGUGACUUGAGUACAAUUGAAGUGGGCGGAAUACAUCAUGUAGCGGUGAAAUGCUUAGAUAUGAUGUAGAACACCGAUUUGCGAGGCAGCUCACUAAUUUGCAAA
rnacentral:rRNA from 1 species